rnacentral:rRNA from 1 species
CUGUACUAGCAUACCACCCUACAUCCCACUGCUGGCUUGCCACUCAAGCUAAGCAGUGUCGGUCCUGGUCGGGCCCUGGAUGGGAGACCAGAUGCUGCUGGAAGUGGUGUUGG